AGAACACCAAUUAAAUAAAUGGUUUGAACACCCAAAAACUAGGGUUCUUCACAAAAACGAAUUUAAUAUCUCAAGACAUAAACAAAUCUUCAAUCUAACCUCCUAAUAAGGUUUGCAAUCCCCUAUUUAUAAUAACAUAAACCUAAAGCUACUUAGUCUAGGAACUUAAAACAAAAUAGGAACUAAGUAAUAGUAAAUCCUAUUAAGAAUAGGAAUCAAAAUAGAAACGCAUGUAGGAAUUGAAUCAUGUGCUCUGCACAUGUUCAUCAAUUGGCGUCCUCGCAUCAGAAACAUUAACGAAAUUUCAAACCUGUCAAUAGCAUCCUUGAUAACAACUUCGAAGAGGUCUUCAUUCACGGAUUUACACUUCAUUAUAAACAAUGAGCAAUAGUCUUCUCCUCACUUAAUGAGUAGGCAACAUGACUUUCCAAGAUAACGAGAUUUAUCUGAUUAAUACACGUUCAAAGCAAUACAUUAAUGCAAUUAAGAAUAAAAUUUCUAGUUGUUGUUUUUGUGAUAUUACUUACGAGAGCAGUGCCACAGAUAAUGAAUAAAGGAAACAAUAAGAUCAGUAUGACCAAUAUCAACUACAUUUCUCUCAUUUUGUUAGAUCUUAUAGAUAGUAUAUCCCCACCUUGCCUGCCAACAUCUGUUGCAAUAAGCGAAUAACCUGGGCUCUAGCAGAAUGCCCGACCAAAUGAAUUGGAUGAUCUUCAUCCCAUUCAGUAUAGUUCCCUCCAACCCAUGCAGAUUCAUACAAUAGAAGUUCACUUAUUUAUUCAUUGGCAACAUAAAAUACAAGAAAGGAUGUAUAAGUGCAAAUAAGAACAACAGGGAUCACAUUAGACCUUCUAACCUUGCUCAUAAACCCUUCCAAACUGUGAAUGCCCUUAAACUUGACUAUGUUCCUCUCCAUAAUCCAUUUGCCCCCCUUUCAAAUAAUAAAACAAUUCCCUAGCCCUGCAAAUUUAUAUUUGAUAUUAUCAAAUUAGAUACGAUAGAUAUAAAAGUACGAGAAAAAAUAUAU
rnacentral:lncRNA from 1 species